UCAUGUUGGUCAGGCUGAUCUCCAACUCCUGACCUUGUAAUCUGCCUGCCUGGACCUCCCAAAGUGCUGGGAUUACAGGCGUGGAGCUACCCCGCCCAGCCAUAUGUUUUUAAAGUUCCCUAGUCAUUAGUUAUAUCUAAUAACAUCCCUUGGAGGCAGGUCAGCAGCAUUUUCCUUUUUUAUGGUUGAAGAAGCAGAUGUAAAGAUGUUGAGUGAUUUGCCCAUAGGUGCACACUGAUCACAGAGCCUGUUCUUUUGUUAAGUAAACUGAACCAUGCUGCCUCUCUACUGGUUAUUACAAACAAGUAAUAAAGUUGUUGCCAUUUAGUGACUUUUUGAUGGCUUUAUUGAAUAGUGAGUGUAGUUUACAAACCUUUUGUCUACUUCCUUUGUUGAAAACAUUUUAAAGUUAGAAUUUACUCGUAUCAUGGUAGGAAACAUUUUUAUGUAAAUUUCCCUGUUCUCUUAAAAAUUAGAAGAAAUCAGGCUGGGCACAGUGGCUCACGCUUGUAAUCCCAGCACUUUGGGAGGCUGAGGUGGGCGGAUCACUUGCAGUGAGGAGUUCGUGACUAGCCUGGCUGGUGUGGCUAAACCCUGUCUCUACCAAAAAUACUAAAAUUAGCUGUGCAUGGUAGCAUGUGCCUGUGGUCCCAGCUACUCUGGAGGCUGAGACAGGAGAAUUGCCUGAAUCCGGGAGGAGGAGGUAACAGUGAGCCAAGAUAGGGCAACUGCGCUCUGUCACCCUCUAAAAAAAAAAGAAAAUUUAGAAGAAAUCAUAUGAAAAAACAUAAAAAUGAACUAUAGUGGACUUAGUUAUUCUGGAAGAACCUUUGCUAGCAUGAAAAUUAGUGUCAAGCUGGACAUACGGCGUGUACCUGUAGUUCCAGCUACUUGGGAGGCUGAGACAGGAGGAUCGCUGGAGCCCAGGAGCUCUAGGCUACAGUGAGCCGUGAUUGCACCACUGGAUUCUAGCUUGGGCAAUAGAGCAAGACUGUUUCUAAAAGAAAAGAAAAUUAGUAUUAUAAAUUAGAAAAUUAGAGGCUUUGUACAAAGCUUUGAAGAGUUAAUAUUUUUAAGUAGGAGAAAAAUGAAUCCUCUCGUUGUAUUGCCCUAAGUAAUUUUGAGUUUGAAACACUAUGGCCCAUAUAACUUGAAGAGACUUUGAAAGGUCAUUUGACCCCUUGAGUUUAGACCGUAUCUCUUCUGUCAAGUGACAACACAGAAUAUUAUCUAGCUCAAAAAAGUCUUUUUUUUUUUUUUUUUUUUUUUUGGUGAUGGAGUCUCACCCUGUACCCCCAAGCUGG